rnacentral:sRNA from 1 species
UAUUGGUUAGUCUGUAGUCCACUGAUUA